rnacentral:rRNA from 1 species
GACGAACGCUGGCGGCGUGCUUAACACAUGCAAGUCGAACGAAGAGCGAUGGAAGCUUGCUUCUAUCAAUCUUAGUGGCGAACGGGUGAGUAACGCGUAAUCAACCUGCCCUUCAGAGGGGGACAACAGUUGGAAACGACUGCUAAUACCGCAUACGAUCUAAUCUCGGCAUCGAGGAUAGAUGAAAGGUGGCCUCUACAUGUAAGCUAUCACUGAAGGAGGGGAUUGCGUCUGAUUAGCUAGUUGGAGGGGUAACGGCCCACCAAGGCGAUGAUCAGUAGCCGGUCUGAGAGGAUGAACGGCCACAUUGGGACUGAGACACGGCCCAGACUCCUACGGGAGGCAGCAGUGGGGAAUCUUCCGCAAUGGACGAAAGUCUGACGGAGGAACGCCGCGUGAGUGAUGACGGCCUUCGGGUUGUAAAGCUCUGUUAAUCGGGACGAAAGGCCUUCUUGCGAAUAGUGAGAAGGAUUGACGGUACCGGAAUAGAAAGCCACGGCUAACUACGUG